AACGAACGCUGGCGGCAGGCCUAACACAUGCAAGUCGAGCGAGGACUUCGGUCCUAGCGGCGGACGGGUGAGUAACGCGCGGGAACGUGCCCUUUGCUUCGGAAUAGCCCUGGGAAACUGGGAGUAAUACUGGAUGAGCCCUUUGGGGGAAAGAUUUAUCGGCGAAGGAUCGGCCCGCGUUGGAUUAGGUAGUUGGUGGGGUAAUGGCCUACCAAGCCGACGAUCCAUAGCUGGUUUGAGAGGAUGAUCAGCCACACUGGGACUGAGACACGGCCCAGACUCCUACGGGAGGCAGCAGUGGGGAAUCUUAGACAAUGGGGGAAACCCUGAUCUAGCCAUGCCGCGUGAGCGAUGAAGGCCUUAGGGUUGUAAAGCUCUUUCAGCUGGGAAGAUAAUGACGGUACCAGCAGAAGAAGCCCCGGCUAACUCCGUG
rnacentral:rRNA from 1 species